GGCGCACGGGUGAGUAACACGUGGGUAAUCUGCCCUGGAGUGUGGAAUAACACCGGGAAACCGGUGCUAAUACCGCAUACGAUCACGAUGUCUGCGGAUGUUGUGAUGAAAGGAGCAAUUCGCUCCAGGAGGAGCCCGCGGCUGAUUAGCUAGUUGGUGAGGUAACGGCUCACCAAGGCAACGAUCAGU
rnacentral:rRNA from 1 species